AAAAAAAAAAAAAAAAAGGUAUAACUUUUAGUAAAAAUGUCGAAGAAGAUACUGAGAAUGAACCAUUUACAGAUAGUGAUACAAAUAUGCAAAAGGAAACACAUCACAGCGAAACAGAUACAGAUACAGAAAACAAAGAAGAUAAGCUUAGUAAAACGGAUUCGGAAAACGAAAGUGAUUUAGAUACUGAAACAGAUACGGAAAACAAAAAAGAUAAAUCAGAUGAUGAAUCUGGUGGGGAAUAUAUUAGUAGCGGAAAUAACAGUUCUAAUAAUAAAAGUGGAAAUAAAAAAAAUGGAAAUUAUGAAAAUUAUGAAUGUGGUAAUAAUGAUACAGAAACUAAUAAUGAUGAUAAAUAUGACAAUAAAAAUAUGGCGAGGGGAAAUAAAAAUAAUUAUAAUAAACAAAGUGAAAUAAAAAAAUAAUAUACAUUUAUUGAGAGGAGCAAGAACAAAAAAAAAACGAAUGAAAAAAAAAUAUAAAAACCAAGUGGUAGAUGAGCAGGAAAGACAACUUCAUAUGAAAAUAAUUGGAUCUAAAAAGAUGAAACACGAAGAUAAGAUAUUAGAAAAGGAAGAACAAAAUAAGAAUGGACCAGAGACAAAUAACAAAUUUAAGAAUCCCAAGACAGUUCUUAUUAAUUUGGAAGAAAUAAAUGAAGAUGAAAUGGAUAUAAAAAUGAGUGAAUUAAACAAAUUAACAUGUUCACCUAAAGAAGGAGAUAAUCUGUUAUUUGCCAUCCCAAUGUGUGCACCAUAUUCUGCUAUUCAAAAUCAUAAAUAUAAAGUAAAAAUAAUUCCUGGAACUGCGAAAAAAGGGAAAGUUGCUGAUUGUUGUGUUGCUCACUUUUUAAAAAUUUCAAAUGAUGAUAAGGAAAAGGAUUUAAUUAAAAAGAUAUCGAUGGAUGAACUAGUAAAUUGUAUCAUCUCAAAUUCAACUGCAGACAUAAAAGAACUGAAAAUUGCUGCUAAAUCGAAUUUUAUGCAUAAAAGCAAAAAAAACAAAAAUAUUAAAUAACUAGGCACGAUGAGUUUUUAUACGUGACUUUUUUUUUGUCGUAUGCUUUUUAUAGGAUUUAUAAUAAAACAUUUUGUAUAUAUACA
rnacentral:lncRNA from 1 species